CACGUAGGGGGCAAGCGUUGUCCGGAAUCAUUGGGCGUAAAGCGCGUGUAGGCGGCUUGGUAAGUCCGCUCUGAAAGCCCGGGGCUCAACCCCGGGAGGCGGGUGGAUACUGUCAAGCUCGAGUCCGGAAGAGGCGAGUGGAAUUCCUGGUGUAGCGGUGAAAUGCGCAGAUAUCAGGAGGAACACCAAUGGCGAAGGCAGCUCGCUGGGACGUGACUGACGCUGAGACGCGAAAGCGUGGGGAGCAAACAGG
rnacentral:rRNA from 1 species